rnacentral:rRNA from 1 species
UACGUAGGGCGCAAGCGUUAUCCGGAAUUAUUGGGCGUAAAGAGCUCGUAGGCGGUUUGUCGCGUCUGCCGUGAAAGUCCGGGGCUCAACUCCGGAUCUGCGGUGGGUACGGGCAGACUAGAGUGAUGUAGGGGAGACUGGAAUUCCUGGUGUAGCGGUGAAAUGCGCAGAUAUCAGGAGGAACACCGAUGGCGAAGGCAGAUCUCUGGGCCGUAACUGACGCUGAGGAGCGAAAGCGUGGGGAGCGAACAGG